rnacentral:rRNA from 1 species
UACGUAGGGUGCGAGCGUUGUCCGGAAUUAUUGGGCGUAAAGAGCUCGUAGGCGGUCUGUCGCGUCGAUCGUGAAAACUUGGGGCUUAACCCUGAGCUUGCGGUCGAUACGGGCAUGACUGGAGUUCGGCAGGGGAGACUGGAAUUCCUGGUGUAGCGGUGAAAUGCGCAGAUAUCAGGAGGAACACCCGUGGCGAAAGCGGCUCUCUGGGACGGUACUGACGCUGAGACGCGAAAGCGUGGGGAGCAAACAGG